ACUACCAGCCAAACACAAAAUAAACUCGUAAAAUAAAAAUAAAAAGGGAGCCCGGAGCGGCAACAAGCCAAUAUACACAACGCCUCUCGCCGACCUCCCCCACCCCCAGAUGCCGGCCACGGCGAGCGGCGGCGCGCGGGCGGAGGAGGCAGCAUCGGCGCUUUCGCUGUCUUCCUCCGCACCUUUCUGCAUGGGGACGCGGCCGGAGGAGCUCGCGGCCAGGCUGGUGGCCGGGGGCCCCGGCGGCGUCGGCGGGCCAGGAGGAGGAUGCGGAGAGGGAGGGGAGGGGGAGCACGAGCGGGUGCUCGCGCUGCGCGAGAUCAAGAACCAGAUCAUUGGGAACCGGACCAAGAAGCUCCUCUACCUCCGCCUGGGCGCCGUGCCGGCGGUCGUCGCGGCGCUGGCCGAGCCCGGCGCGUCUCCGGCCGCGCUCGUCCAGGCGGCGGCCGCGGCGGGGAGCUUCGCUUGCGGCGUGGACGAUGGCGCGCGGGCCGUGCUUGCUGCUGGCGCCGUGGGGCACCUUACGCGGCUCCUCGCCCACCCCGACGACAAGGUUGUCGAUGCAUGUGCACGUGCUCUCAGAAUGAUAUAUCAAUCAAAACAAGCUCCAAUGUUUGAUGUCAAUAAUGAGAAAAAUAUGGACUUUCUUCUUUCCCUUUUGGACAGCGAGAACGAAAAUGUUACUGAGCUGGCUGCUAAUAUUAUAUCAUACUCUUGCAAUAGCAAUACAGAACAAUUAGCACUAUGUGGUGCUGGAGUUCCACAGAAACUUGUUAGUCUUUUUGGAGGUUCUAUGAAUCUACGGGAUGCUUGCUUAGAAUCUAUGACUGCAAUCAUAAGAAAUAACUGGGAAGUUGCUUCAAGGUUUGCAUCAAUGGAUCACGGAAAAGCUUUCCGUUCAAUAGUUGCGUUAAUACACGAUCGGAGCCCGCGCACAAGGCUACUUGCUUGUCUGUGCUUGAUUGCACUUGGUCAUGCUUCUCCCUGUCAUUUUCUGGACAGACAAAUUAAAACGAAGUUGAUUCUGGUCUUACUUGAGCUCAUUGAAGAACCUGGUCAUGUGGGAGAUGAGGCUCCCUUGGCACUAACUACGCUUAUAAAGGACAGUGUGGAACUGCAGAAACAAGCCUUUUCAACAAAUGCAGUUGCGAAGCUUAGCAACCAUUUGUUAGCAAAUACAUUGCAGACAAGGCGGGCAGUGACCAUAUUGCUUGCUUUAGCUGAACUUUGCUCAAAACAAGAAGAGUCAAGAUCUCAACUUUUGUCAGGCCAGGUAUCAACAUUGAUACUUGAUGCGUUGAAGCACGAUUGUGCGGAUAUUCGUGUUGCAGCAUGUUCAUGCCUGAAGAAUAUUUCUAGGUCAUCGAAGGUGCUUAGUGCAGGCCGCUUAUCCUGUGAUACAGUUAUUGCCCCCUUAGUCCAGCUUUUGUACGACUCAUCUACUUCAGUUCAGAUUGCUGCCCUGGGUGCUAUUUGCAACAUUGCAGUGAAUUUAACACCCAGGAAAUCGGUUCUUCUUCAUUCUGGGGUCGUCUCCCAACUUGUUCAUUUAUCCAAGUCGAUGGAUCCAACAUUGAGACUAAAAUCUGUGUUGGCUCUGAGGAAUAUUAUGUUCCUUAUGAAUCCCAAGGAUAAAGACCUCAUUCUGAAGGAGCUAACUGUAUCUACUCUCUCAAGCCUCAUAUGCGAUUCUGAACAUUCUGUUCAGGAACAGACCUUAGCGCUGGUACAGAAUCUUCUUGAUGGAUAUGUGGAUUCUGUUAACUACGUCACUGGUGAAGAUGGCAUGGUUAUAAAUGCAAUCUCAAGACAACUGAACAGCGCGUCUGCCACAGGAGUUUGCAUCCAGUUUCUUCUCUUCAGGGUAUGUUGGUGCUUGCAAAUAUGGCAGCUGGGAAUGAAUUAAACAAGGAAGCUGUAAUGGAUGUUACUGUUCCUCACCGGGCAGAUCGCAUCAAACCAUCUUUUGUGGUCAACUUUCUGCAGAGCAAGGAUAAACAAUUGAGAGUUGCAACCUUGUGGUGCAUUCUGAACUUAAUUUACCCAAACAGUGAUUCUUCAUCUACUCGAGUAGCCCGACUCCAAAAUGCUGGUGUAAUCUCACAAGUAAAAAACAUGAUAAAUGACCCCUGCUUGGAUUGCAAGCUUAGAGUACGUAUGGUGCUUGAACACUGCUUAGACAAUGCCACUGCCGGUUUCAUGUGAUGGGUUGGCAAGCCAUUGAAGUUUACGGACCACCAUACACCAUACAGCAAUUGGGCAAAGGAAAGCUGGGCGUGCUUGGCACCGAGAUGCACCCCAUAAGCGCGAAGUCCUUACUGGUCUCUCCCUGUAUUGAGCCUAUCACAGUAAUUUUUUCUCACGAGAACCCGAUGGCACAUGCCACCUAGAGAACCUGAGCUGCUUGCUUGCGACCUGAAGGCCAUAGGCACCAGGUCCAGAGAAUCCCAUUUUGUAGUGCCACAAGAACCUUUGGGUUGUGUUGUGACGAAGAGUGUAUAAUCGAUCCACUGCUGUUGCUGUUGUAAAAUGCAGUUAUCUCUUACAAUGAUCGGUCUGUUUUAUUGCCUGA